UCCUCCCUCUUUCUUUGUGCUUAACACAUGCAAGUCGAACGGUAAGGCCCUUUCGGGGGUCCACGAGUGGCGAACGGGUGCGUAACACGUGAGUAACCUGCCCUCAUCUCUGGGAUAACAGUCGGAAACGGUUGCUAAUACUGGCUAUGAGCUUGCAAGGCAUCUUGUGGGUUGGAAAGAUUUUUUUUGGUUGGGGAUGGACUCGCGGCCUAUCAGCUUGUUGGUGAGGUAGUGGCUCACCAAGGCUUCGACGGGUAGCCGGCCUGAGAGGGCGACCGGCCACAUUGGGACUGAGAUACGGCCCAAACUCCGACGGGAGGCAGCAGUGGGGAAUAUUGCACAAUGGACGGAAGUCUGAUGCAGCAACGCCGCGUGCGGGAUGACGGCCUUCGGGUUGUAAACCGCUGUCAAUUGUGACGAAGCUUUUUUGUGACGGUAGCAGUAGAAGAAGCACCGGCUAACUACGUG
rnacentral:rRNA from 1 species